UAAGGAAUAUUGGUCAAUGGACGCAAGUCUGAACCAGCCAUGCCGCGUGAAGGAUGAAGGUCCUCUGGAUUGUAAACUUCUUUUAUCUGGGACGAAAACGAGAUUUUUAUCUCAAUUGACGGUACCAGAGGAAUAAGCACCGGCUAACUCCGUGCCAGCAGCCGCGGUAAUACGGAGGGUGCGAGCGUUAUCCGGAUUUACUGGGUUUAAAGGGUGCGUAGGUGGGCUUAUAAGUCAGUGGUGAAAUCUCCGAGCUUAACUUGGAAACUGCCGUUGAUACUAUAGGUCUUGAAUUAUCUGGAGGUAAGCGGAAUAUGUCAUGUAGCGGUGAAAUGCUUAGAUAUGACAUAGAACACUAAUUGCGAAGGCAGCUUACUACAUAUAAAUUGACGCUGAGGCACGAAAGCGUGGGGAUCAAAC
rnacentral:rRNA from 1 species